ensembl:snRNA U4 U4 spliceosomal RNA
AGCUUUGCGCAGUGGCAGUAUCGUAGCCAAUGAGGUUUAUCCGAGGGCAUGAUUAUUGCUCAUUGAAAAUGUUUUUCCAAUAUCCCCGCCACGGCGACUGGAAAUAUGGUAGCUUUCAGGAAUUUUGCAAUCUCCUAUUGGAG